rnacentral:rRNA from 1 species
GAUGAACGCUGGCGGCGUGCCUAAUACAUGCAAGUCGAACGAACAGACGAGGAGCUUGCUCCCCUGCCGUUAGCGGCGGACGGGUGAGUAACACGUGGAUAACCUACCUAUUAGACUGGGAUAACUACGUGAAACCGCAUCUAAUACCGCCUAAUAUAUCGAACCGCAUGAUUCAAUAGUGAAAGACGGUUUUGCUGUCACUUAUAGCUGGAUCCGCGCCGCAUUAGCUAGUUGGUAAGGUAACGGCUUACCAAGGCAACGAUGCGUAGCCGACCUGAGAGGGUGAUCGGCCACACUGGAACUGAGACACGGUCCAGACUCCUACGGGAGGCAGCAGUAGGGAAUCUUCCGCAAUGGGCGAAAGCCUGACGGAGCAACGCCGCGUGAGUGAUGAAGGUCUUCGGAUCGUAAAACUCUGUUAUUAGGGAAGAACAAAUGUGUAAGUAACUAUGCACGUCUUGACGGUACCUAAUCAGAAAGCCACGGCUAACUACGUG